UACGUAGGGGGCAAGCGUUGUCCGGAAUCAUUGGGCGUAAAGCGCGCGUAGGCGGCUUUACAGGUCCGUUGUGAAAACUCGAGGCUCAACCUCGAGACGCCGGUGGAAACCGUAAGGCUAGAGUCCGGAAGAGGAGAGUGGAAUUCCUGGUGUAGCGGUGAAAUGCGCAGAUAUCAGGAGGAACACCGGUGGCGAAAGCGGCUCUCUGGGACGGUACUGACGCUGAGACGCGAAAGCGUGGGGAGCAAACAGG
rnacentral:rRNA from 1 species